CACGGCAUGUGCCUGUAUUGCUGGGACAUCGAGCCUUCCCAAGUCAACCCGGAGGUGGAGUGGAAAUUACAGAAGUAGGGAGCAGGAUAAAGUUCUCAAUUGCCAGAUGUGGAACAGAUUGCUCUUGGGUCUUCUGGUUAAAAGAUUGGAUCAAAACGAGUGAAGGAGGAGUUAUUUAAGGAAGGACCAAGACAACAUCAUCCUUCAGAGGUCACUGAGCGGCAUUAUGUGAACCGUUUGCAGUGGUGGUGUUUACCUUUUUUAUUGACACAAACCAAAAAUGUAAUCAGAAUGUUACCUUUAUAUGUUACAAAAAAGUAUGAUUUUUCUUUCAUUUUAAUUUUUCUAAAGCUUGCAAAUAAACGUAUUCAGAAUAUGCAACACCUAAAGAAAGAGAAGAGGAGACUGAAUAAAAGGUUUUCAAGGCCUUCUCCUAUUCCAGAACCAGGACUCCUGCCACGUGUAUAGUAAGAAGCAGAGAAGAUGGCAAUGGCCAAGGGGUAAGUUCAUCUGCAUAAGAAGAUUAGAGUGAGGUGGCCAGCCUUCCCUGCAUGCUAUGUAAACAUCAUACCUGAGUGAACCAAUCUGUGAGCCCUAUGUAAAUCAGACGCCUCCUCAAGCCUGACUAUAAAAUCUGUCGCCUCCACCACCGGCCCGUCUUUCCUCUCAGUCCCAGAUGUUUUUUAAAGAAAUGUCUACAAACUGUUCUAUACCAUUCAUCCCACCAACUGGUUUGAGGUUGCAGAGACAACUGAAAUGUUUCACAAAUAGUGGUCAUCUUGAUAAAGCAGGAGUCUAUUUGAAGGAAACCAUGCUCCAGACAGAAAUAUGUGGAUUGUGAACAUCAAGUGACAUAUCAUGAAUUGAUCAUCCACAAAAUAAAUGCAAUACUCCACCAUUUCGGAAAAAUAAACACAGUGCAAGUAUUUAAUAUC
rnacentral:lncRNA from 1 species